rnacentral:rRNA from 1 species
UUAACAGGAUUUUGAUACCCUGGUAGUCCACGCCGUAAACGAUGAGUGCUAAGUGUUAGGGGGUUUCCGCCCCUUAGUGCUGCAGCUAACGCAUUAAGCACUCCGCCUGGGGAGUACGGUCGCAAGACUGAAACUCAAAGGAAUUGACGGGGGCCCGCACAAGCGGUGGAGCAUGUGGUUUAAUUCGAAGCAACGCGAAGAACCUUACCAGGUCUUGACAUCCUCUGACAAUCCUAGAGAUAGGACGUCCCCUUCGGGGGCAGAGUGACAGGUGGUGCAUGGUUGUCGUCAGCUCGUGUCGUGAGAUGUUGGGUUAAGUCCCGCAACGAGCGCAACCCUUGAUCUUAGUUGCCAGCAUUCAGUUGGGCACUCUAAGGUGACUGCCGGUGACAAACCGGAGGAAGGUGGGGGAUGACGU